UGUAGCUUACGGGGGGCAGCAGUGAGGAAUAUUGGUCAAUGGUCGGGAGACUGAACCAGCCAAGCCGCGUGAGGGAUGAAGGUACAGAGUAUCGUAAACCUCUUUUGUCAGGGAACAAAGGCGGGGACGCGUCCCCGGAUGAGUGUACCUGAAGAAAAAGCAUCGGCUAACUCCGUGCCAGCAGCCGCGGUAAUACGGAGGAUGCGGUCGUUAUCCGGAUUUAUUGGGUUUAAAGUGUGCGCAGGCGGUCUGUUUAGUCAGCGGUCAAAGCCCGGGGGUCAACCCCGGCCCGCCGUUGAAACCGG
rnacentral:rRNA from 1 species